UACGAAGGGGGCUAGCGUUGCUCGGAAUCACUGGGCGUAAAGCGCACGUAGGCGGAUUGUUAAGUCAGGGGUGAAAUCCUGGAGCUCAACUCCAGAACUGUCUUUGAUACUGGCGAUCUCGAGUCCGGGAGAGGUGAGUGGAACUGCGAGUGUAGAGGUGAAAUUCGUAGAUAUUCGCAAGAACACCAGUGGCGAAGGCGGCUCACUGGCCCGGUACUGACGCUGAGGUGCGAAAGCGUGGGGAGCAAACAGG
rnacentral:rRNA from 1 species